rnacentral:rRNA from 1 species
ACAACUUUCAGCGACGGAUGUCUCGGCUCAAGCAACGAUGAAGGGCGCAGCGAAGUGUGAUAAACAUUGUGAAUUGCAGAAUUCCGUGAACCAAUAGAACUUUGAACGUAUCUUGCGCUGCCAGGAUAUCCCUGACAGCAUGCCUGCUUCAGUGUCUGU